rnacentral:rRNA from 1 species
UACGAAGGGGGGCUAGCGUUGUUCGGAGUUACUGGGGCGUAAAGGGCGCGUAGGCGGCGCACCAAGUCAGGCGUGAAAGCCCUGGGCUCAACCCGGGAAUUGCGCUUGAGACUGGUGUGCUUGAGUACGGGAGAGGAUAGUGGAAUUCCCAGUGUAGAGGUGAAAUUCGUAGAUAUUGGGAAGAACACCGGUGGCGAAGGCGGCUAUCUGGACCGUAACUGACGCUGAGGCGGCGAAAGCGUGGGGAGCAAACAGG